rnacentral:lncRNA from 1 species
AGCUUGCGAUACUUCCCACAUUUAUUGGGAACAAAAUCAAGCUACUAACUAGUUAUCUAAACAAGCUGUUUUAAGUGACUACUCCUCCUCUUUGGGGGAUUCGUUAUCUUUUCACUUUGCAUAUAUUCUGCAACACGAUCAGAUGCAAAUGCCUCUUCAUGGUCUCUAUGUAUUGCCAUACCAUUAUAGAUUUUCACCCUUUCAGCUACCUUGCUCCUAUUGGUGCAAUUGAAGGUGGUAC